GACGAACGCUGGCGGCGUGCUUAACACAUGCAAGUCGAACGGAAAGGCCCUGCUUUUGUGGGGUGCUCGAGUGGCGAACGGGUGAGUAACACGUGAGUAACCUGCCCUUGACUUUGGGAUAACUUCAGGGAACUGGGCUAAUACCGGAUAGGAGCUCCUGCUGCAUGGUGGGGGUUGGAAAGUUUCGGCGGUUGGGGAUGGACUCGCGGCUUAUCAGCUUGUUGGUGGGGUAGUGGCUUACCAAGGCUUUGACGGGUAGCCGGCCUGAGAGGGUGACCGGCCACAUUGGGACUGAGAUACGGCCCAGACUCCUACGGGAGGCAGCAGUGGGGAAUAUUGCACAAUGGGCGGAAGCCUGAUGCAGCAACGCCGCGUGCGGGAUGACGGCCUUCGGGUUGUAAACCGCUUUCGCCUGUGACGAAGCGUGAGUGACGGUAAUGGGUAAAGAAGCACCGGCUAACUACGUG
rnacentral:rRNA from 1 species